rnacentral:lncRNA from 1 species
ACAUCCUCUUCUCCUUCUCCUACUAGAUCUCCACCUGAUGCCUCUCCGAAAGGCAUCCACCAAGCGAUCCACGGCCUCCACGGUCAGAUCUCAGGCUCUGACCUCGCCUCCAAUUUUUCAGGCUCCUCCUCCUCCUCCGACAACGACGGUCGGUAUGGAGCAGUUCGACCUAUUGGUUCAGUAGGUCAAAGGCCUCACUGAAGCAGUGCAGGCCAUGCAGCAGCAGUAGUAACAGCCGCAGACGUC